GUAUGUGGAAACACAGAGGAGGGGUUUUUUGAUGGGUUUGAAGGUGGCCCCCAAAAGAUAGAUCCAGAUCCAUGGACUCCUGGUACCAUGAAUGUGACCUUCUUUGGAUAGAGGGUUUUUGCAGAUGUAAUUAACUUACUGAAGUCACCCUGAAUUAUUCAGAUGGGUCCUAAAUUUGGUGACACAUGUUCUAAUAAGAGAUAGAAGGGGAGAAGACACAGACACAGGGAGAAGACAGCCAUGUGAAGGCAGAGACGGGAGUGAGGCAUCUACAAGCCAAAGACUGCCGGCAACCACCAGAAGCCAGGAGAGAGGCCUGCAACGGGUUGUCCCUCACACCCCUCAGGAAAAGCCGGCAGGCCAACACCUUGAUUUGGGACUCCUGGCCUCCAGAACUGUGAGAAAAUGGAUUGCCACUAUUUCAAGCCACCUGGGCAGUGGUGCUCUGGUGCAGCAGUCUAUGGGCAACUGAGUGUCUAACUCACAUCCAGGAAGGUUGUCUUGGGAGGUUUCUGAAGCAGCGGCAUUAGAAAUGAGUCCUGAAGUUGGAGUAGAAGGUCAUCAGGUUGCAGGGAGGUGGGCAGAAGGCCUUCAGGAGGCCUUACCGGAGCGUGCACAGGCAUGAGGCAAGAACAAGCACUGCGGGGGCUGAGGACAAUGAUCCAGUAGGACUGGAGCCUGGGAGCCUGCAGAAGACAGCGUCAAAGAUAGGCCUACUCUAAAGAUGGUACUCUGUUGACCCAGAGUCUGGAUGUCAUUGUGAGGGUAAUGGGCUCAUUAAAAGUGUUCAGUAGGGGAGUGCUCCAGUCAGGUGUGCUUUGGAAAGGUUUCACAGGAACCCAAAGAGAAGAAUGGAUCCAGAACUGACCCGUCCAAGACUAGGAGGUCUGUUUGGCAACAAUGCCAGCCUGGAAUGGUGGGAGAUGGAGUGGGCAGAGGCGAGGCAGGCACAGAGCCCAGGGGAUGGGAGGACACAGGGGGAGGAGACACCAUCAGCAGAGCCUGGACUGCCUAUUGUGGGGCACUCUAGGAGGCCACCCAACUAGGGGUCUGGGUGAUGGCGUCAUUCCACUUACUGAACCAUGGAGAGAGAGUGGCCUCAGGGGUCCACGAUGAGUUAGGUUUGGGGACAUGUUGCAUCUUCAUGCGAUUGCUAAGAGGAUCAAUGGACUAUAACAUAUGCAAAGUGCCCAGCACAGCGGCCAGCCAGUGGCGCUCAAUAUUUAUCAGGAGACUGCAGAAACAGGCCCGAGGGAGGGACUAGACACUUGUCUCCAUCUCCAUGCCUGGCACCAUCUGCAGUGCUGGGCACAAUAGGUGCUCAAUGAAUGCCCACAGAAUUGAAAUAUGGGCUGGACCUCAAACACCAUCUGCCAGGCCAUCAUAAGCCCAACACUUUGCAGCAAGAGAUUCACCCCACAGACCACAUCGACAUCCACGCAGUUGCAAGGAAAUCAAUCGGUCUGGCUCCAGCUGUCGAAACUAGGAGCCAAGAGGAACCCUGGACAAAUAGUCUUCGGCUCAGCACUUUCUCCAUCUGGAAAGAAAACCAGGUGGGGGCAGGGGAGGAACACCAGGCCAUCAGAAGGUUAUAAGUCCAUAAAUAAGAGAUUUGUGGUAAAUAAGCUGGCGAACAUAUCCGCUGGCUGCUCUUUUUUAUCACUCACCUAGACAGCAAAAUUCCCCCGCAUCUUUUCUGCAGGCCAAUAAAUAUCCUUCAAGGAGCCUGUAUUUACAUAGAGAGCAAGGCGGGUGCCACUGCUCCACAGGCCCCAUGUCAAGAAGGAACAAUGUAUGGCCCUAAAGAGAAUGGCUGUGCGGGGAAUCAAUGCAAAUGCAGUUUCUUUUCCCAGGGUGAUGCUCCUGAGCAGGGUUCAGCCCGAGUUCAAGGAUUGUGCUCAGGCGGGUGCUGAGGGGACCUUUACAUGGAGGAGGUGAAUCUCUCCCCUAGGCAGGGUCCCCAGCUGCCUCAAGCCCACUCUGGGGCUCUGCACCCAAGACCCUUUCUCCAAAAUGAAAGAGGCCUAAAGGUUAUACUCUGGGACCUCUAGAUCAACCACUGGGUGUUAUGCCACAGAAGGAUUCAUUAAGGACCUACUGUGUGCCAGGCGCAGUAGGUAAAUGGAAACAAGGACAGACAAGGCUCCUGCCUUCCAAUCAGAGAGCUGGGAUUGAGUGGCUUCGCCCAGUAGUGGGGAAGGCUGGUCAGAAGGGCUGGCAUAUAAGCUGACACACCCAGUGGGAUUUGAACAUGAGCAGAGGAGAGAGGGUCCUGAGUAGAGACCAUGGCCUGCUCAGAGCACCCCAGGUAAGAGACAUGGAAGCAAGGUGCCAGGAGGAGGUAGAAGGACAUCUGAUACCUGGAGCGCAGUGGGUGAGAAGAAACCAGGACACACAGGAGAUGACGUCUAUGAACUGGAAAGCGGGCCUUCGCCAGAUACUGGAUCUGCUGUCAUCUUAAUCUGGGACUCUUCAGUCUCCACAACUAAACUGUGGUUGAAAGAGGUAAAGCAACUUGCUCAAGAUCAUGUGGCUCGGAAGGAGUACAGCAGGAUUUUAAACUUGGUCUGUGACACCUGUGUCCCUGGGCACUCCCCUGGCCUUCAUGUGACCACUGAAGAGAAAUGAUUUGGCUUCCUGUCCAGUGAACAACAGAGGAAGGAGAGGAUCCCAGGAGCCCUCUCUUCUCCUAGCAAUUCAGCUCUGGAAAGACAUAAGAUGCAAUUGCUGAGCCUCACCCUUUUAUCCUGGGGAUGGGGAACUGAAGCCCAGGAUGAAAAAGGGUUGUUCAAUGUCAUAGCCCAAGUUGGCUCUGCCAAAACCAUUCUCUAAGAACUCACUGGAAGCUGAGUACUCUCCAAGGCACAGCUGGGGGAGACUGCAAACAGCUGGACCCUUGUGCCUUGCCUUCCAAGGCUCUGGAAACAGCAUGUUCACAGAAUGACAGGUGGCACAGAGCUCAGGACACUUGGGUCUUCUUCCUUGGUGGGUUCUAUGCCUGGGGCCAUUCUGUCUCUCUCUUGCCUGGUGCCUUUGCCUCCACCUUGCUUAUAAGCUCUUUUCUUCCAACUACAUUCAGAAGCUCCCUGAACAUUUCAUGCCUGUUAUCCCAGGGGUAUAUGGCCUAUUCCUCACUGCUACCUCUGUUUACAUGCCAUAAAGGGAGAAGCGGCUUAAGGCAUGCAGGGGAGGUGAGUUCACCCAUGGUUGAAAAAGGCAUCUGACUUCAAAGCUGGGAGCUUGGCCCCAGCUCUGCCACUUCAGUGAUGGUUGGCCUCCCACAGCAAACCCAACCCAAGCCCCAGGCUCCUUCCUCUGCCACCCCAGGCAUGCUGGGACUCAGCCAGAGCCGGAGCUUUGAGCUCUGGAGUACAGCUUCAUGUGGACGUCUGAGUGCCCUGGGAGUCCUGGUGUUAUAUUAUUCCCAUAUUGAAGGCCAUCCAAGACUAUGAAAACUCUAGGACAAAACACUUAAAAUUCCAAGCAAAUUCCCAGCCUCGUUUCCUGUGCAUUCCUUCCCACCACCCUGGGCAACUCGAUGGGUUGC
rnacentral:lncRNA from 1 species